UUGUAGCUCAGCUGGAUAGAGCAUCGGCCUUCUAAGCCGAGGGUCCAGGGUUCGAAUCCCUGCA
rnacentral:tRNA from 1 species